AAUAUUUGACAAAGGGGGCAAGCCUGAUCCAGCCCUGCCGGGUGAGUGAAGAAAGCCUUCGGGUUGUAAAGCUCUUUUGUCGGGAAAGAAAAGUUUUGGGUUAAUACCCCGGGAUUUUGACGGUACCGGAAGAAAAAGCCCCGGCUAAAUUCGUGCCAGCAGCCGCGGUAAUACGAAGGGGGCAAGCGUUUUUUGGAAUUAUUGGGGGUAAAGGGUGCGUAGGGGGUUAGUUAAGUCUGAGGUGAAAUCCCCGGGGUCAACCUGGGAAAUGGCGUCUGGAUAAAGGGGGUCUUGAGUGUGGGAGAGGGGUGGCGGAAAAUCCCGGUGUAGCGGUGAAAAGUGUAGAUAUUUGGAGGAACACCCGUGGGGAAGGGGGCCUCCUGGACCAACAUUGACGCUGAGGCGCGAAAGCGUGGGGAGCAAACAGGAUUAGAUACCCCGGUAGUCCACGCCCUAAACGAUGAGAACUGGGUGUGGGGGGCAAUUAAGCCUCAGUGCCGAAGCUAA
rnacentral:rRNA from 1 species